rnacentral:rRNA from 1 species
UUCGCAAUGCCCGAAAGGGUGACSAAGCGACGCCGCGUGAGUGAGGAAGGCCUUCGGGUUGUAAAGCUCUGUCAGGAGUUAAGAAAUGUAAGUGUGCUAAUACCGCAUUUAUUUGACGAAGGCUCCAAAGGAAGCCACGGCUAACUCUGUGCCAGCAGCCGCGGUAAUACAGAGGUGGCAAGCGUUGUUCGGAAUUAUUGGGCGUAAAGAGCACGUAGGUGGGUUUGUAAGUCAGAUGUGAAAGCCUUCUGUUCAACGGAAGAAUUGCAUCUGAAACUGCGAGUCUUGAGUGUAGGAGGGGAGAAUGGAACUUCUGGUGGAGCGGUGAAAUGCGUAGAUAUCAGAAGGAACGCCGGCGGCGAAAGCGAUUCUCUGGCCUAUUACUGACGCUCAGUGUGCGAAAGCUAGGGGAGCAAACGGGAUUAGAUACCCCGGUAGUCCUAGCCGUAAACGAUGGGCACUAAGUAGAGGGAAUUACCGAUGUUCUCUCUGCCGUAGCUAACGCAUUAAGUGCCCCGCCUGGGGAGUACGGCCGCAAGGCUAAAACUCAAAAGAAUUGACGGGGGCUCGCACAAGCGGUGGAGCAUGUGGCUUAAUUCGAUGCAACGCGAAGAACCUUACCGGGGCUUGACAUGGUAGAAGUAGGAACCCGAAAGGGUAACGAACGGUAUCCAGUCCGUAACUAUCACAGGUGUUGCAUGGCUGUCGUCAGCUCGUGUCGUGAGACGUUGGGUUAAGUCCCCUAACGAGCGAAACCCUUGUUUUUAGUUACCAGCGGGUUGUGCCGGGUACUCUAGAAAGACUGCCGUCGUCAAGACGGAGGAAGGUGGGGAUGACGUCAAGUCAUCAUGGCCCUUAUGCCCCGGGCUGCACACGUGCUACAAUGGUCGGUACAAACGGA